rnacentral:rRNA from 1 species
GUGGGGAAUUUUGCACAAUGGGGGAAACCCUGAUGCAGCGACGCCGCGUGAUUUAGAAGGCCUUCGGGUUGUAAAAAUCUUUUGUAUGGGAAGAAAAUGACAGUACCAUACGAAUAAGGACCGGCUAAUUACGUGCCAGCAGCCGCGGUAAUACGUAAGGUCCGAGCGUUGUCCGGAAUCAUUGGGCGUAAAGGGUACGUAGGCGGGUAAGCAAGUUAGAAGUUAAAUCCUAUAGCUCAACUAUAGCAAGCUUUUAAAACUGCUCAUCUUGAGGUAUGGAAGGGAAAGUGGAAUUCCUAGUGUAGCGGUGAAAUGCGCAGAUAUUAGGAGGAAUACCGGUGGCGAAGGCGACUUUCUGGCCAUAAACUGACGCUGAGGUACGAAAGCGUGGGUAGCAAACAGG